AAGACCUUGCGCUUUUGGAGCGGCCGAUGCCUGAUUAGCUAGUUGGUGGGGUAAAAGCCUACCAAGGCAACGAUCAGUAGUUGGUCUGAGAGGACGACCAGCCACACUGGGACUGAGACACGGCCCAGACUCCUACGGGAGGCAGCAGUGGGGAAUUUUGGACAAUGGGCGCAAGCCUGAUCCAGCAAUGCCGCGUGAGUGAAGAAGGCCUUCGGGUUGUAAAGCUCUUUCAGUUGAGAAGAAAAGGUUGUGGUAAAUAAUCACAAUUGAUGACGGUAUCGACAGAAGAAGCACCGGCUAACUACGUGCCAGCAGCCGCGGUAAUACGUAGGGUGCAAGCGUUAAUCGGAAUUACUGGGCGUAAAGGGUGCGCAGGCGGCUUUGUAAGUCAGAUGUGAAAUCCCCGGGCUUAACCUGGGAAUU
rnacentral:rRNA from 1 species